AAAGGUCGUGCACGCCCGAGCGCUCUCACGCAUCCAUUUCACCCCUUUGUGCACCACCGCGUGGGUCGUCCUCCCUCCGAGGGCGGGCGGCUUGCGUUUUUACACAAACCCCCUCGUAACGCAGCGUUAGAAUGAUUUACCCUUUGCGGUGACACGCAAUCAAUACAACUUUCAACAACGGAUCUCUUGGCUCUCGCAUCGAUGAAGAACGCAGCGAAAUGCGAUACGUAAUGUGAAUUGCAGAAUUCAGUGAAUCAUCGAAUCUUUGAACGCACCUUGCGCCUCUUGGUAUUCCGAGGGGCACACCCGUUUGAGUGUCGUGACAUCCUCAACCUUCUCGAUCUUUGCGAUCGGGGAAGGUUUGGACUUUGGGGGUUUAUGCUGGCCUCCUUCGAAGCCAGCUCCCCUUAAAUGGAUUAGUGGGGUUCGCUUUGCCGAUCCUCGACGUUGAUAAGAUGUUUCUACGUCUUGGGUUGGGCACUGUCUUUCGGGAACCUGCUUCUAACCGUCUCGCGAGAGACGACGCGUUUGAACCUUGACCUCAAAUCGGGUGAGACUACCCGCUGAACUUAAGCAUAUCAAUAAGCG
rnacentral:rRNA from 1 species